CUCACUGCGUGUGGUUGGUGGCUGGAUGGAGUAGUUUCACCUGGUCUGAGACUCUGAGGCUGGGCGAGGCUGCACACCUGUUGUUAAUUAAUCAAUCAUCCCCACACACUCUCAGGUAGGGAUCUCCUACAUGGUAGCAUGGAUCACCAUGUGUGUAUGUUUAAUGUCCUCAAACUUUGCAAUUAACCGGUUUCACCACUAUUAUCAUCAUCUUCAUAAGCAGCAACGAACAUUGCUAAACUCACAAACUUAGGGACUGAGGCACGCGGUAGUAUUUACUAUUUUGCACAUAGUAUUUGGAGUUUUUCACUUGUGGAGGAAUGGACUUCAACUUCACGAUUUGUGUGGACAAGCUCAGCGCUGGAGGGUCCUGGGACCACACAGCAGCGCAGGGCUCAGACACAAACAGCAGAGGUCACCCGGAAACAUGGCGCUUUACUUCCCUGCUCUACAAGGAAGACGAGCGGAUCCUCUUCGUGGCGAAAGAAGGAAAGCUGAAUACAAUCUGUUCCUCGAAUCCCAAGCCUUUGUAUAAUUAUGAAUUAUGAAUGCAUACUAACAUUUCACAAGGCACACUGCAAUGCCGAUCAUCAAUAUCCAUCAUCAACCUAAAGAUUCACAUGAAAUUUAAUUCACAUAUUUUAGCUUGAAGUGAAUGGCAUGAAUUAUUGGAUUAUGUGAUUAAUGUACCAGAAACCAUUCAUCCUUGCUUUGGCAUCCGAUGCACUAUAGCCUUACCGUUGACGUUUAUCUGAAGACUGUAAUAUCAAACCAGACACACUGGUAGACAACUGUUCCUUCUGAGUGGAGCUUCUUACAAAGAACCUCUUUCGCAUCCCACUGCUUCAUCUAUCAACCACCGGCUUCCAUUGGGUCAUCCAUUGAUUUAGGAAACGGCUAGCAGUCUAUAAAUCACUAGAAGGCCCAGGGCCUGCAUAUGCUCCUGACAUGCUGCUAGCAUAUGAACUGUUUAGCUCUCUGAGGUCAUUCAGGAGCGUUCCUCCAGAAUACAUACAACACAGCGGCCUCAGCAGAAGGUAGCUUUUAAGUUGUUCAAGUCUGGAGUUCACUCUAAAUCGACUUUGACUGACUACUACAUUAUAUUUGGCUAAUUGAGUCAUUCUAUAUAUAUCUGGCUUUGAUGGCCUCCUCCUAUAGCAUUAUCAUGCAAACUGAUUCAGGGAAAAUUCCAUGCAAAAGAUAGAUCUAUAAACCACACAAUUAAUCACUGUGUGGCUUUUAUCUGGAUUUUUAUUGGUAGUUGAGUAGUUAGUGGAUCGGUUUAUGAAAAUGCACCGCAAUAUAUUCAAGAAUGUGCUAAUUAUGCAUAUAGGGAAUCGGGCAUUCAGUAGAGUGAUCGUUAAAAAAGAUACGGCUAAUCAGGGCUAAUGU